CCUACGGGUGGCAGCAGUAGGGAAUAUUGCUCAAUGGGGGAAACCCUGAAGCAGCAACGCCGCGUGAAGGACGAAGGUUUUCGGAUUGUAAACCUCUUUUGUUAGAGAAGAUAAUGACGGUACCUAACCAAUAAGCACCGGCUAACUACGUGCCAGCAGCCGCGGUAAUACGGAGGGUGCAAGGGUUAUCCGGAAUUACUGGGCGUAAAGGGCGCGUAGGCGGGAUAGUAAGUCAGGUGUGAAAUCCUAGGGCCUAACCAUAGGACUGCAUUUGAAACUGUCUUUCUUGAGUAGGGGAGAGGUAGGUGGAAUGCUUGGUGUAGGGGUAAAAUGCGUAGAGAUCAAGAGGAAUACUGAUUGCGAAGGCGACCUGCUGG
rnacentral:rRNA from 1 species